rnacentral:rRNA from 1 species
UACGUAUGGGGCAAGCGUUAUCCGGAUUUACUGGGUGUAAAGGGAGCGUAGGCGGCCUGGCAAGCCUGAUGUGAAAUACCGGGGCCCAACCCCGGGGCUGCAUUGGGAACUGCCAGGCUGGAGUGCCGGAGAGGCAGGUGGAAUUCCUAGUGUAGCGGUGAAAUGCGUAGAUAUUAGGAGGAACACCAGUGGCGAAGGCGGCCUGCUGGACGGUGACUGACGCUGAGGCUCGAAAGCGUGGGGAGCAAACAGG